GAUCAACUGGGGAGGAAGGCACAGCAUCUGGCGACACACGAGCCAAAACACCAACAAACACGUUGAAGUCAAUUUCAUAGAAAAAUUUACUACAGAAAGAUACUUUUGUCCAAACACCAGAUGCUCCAUUACCUGGUUCCUGUCCUGGAGUCCCUGUGGGGAGUGCUCCAGGGCCAUUACAGAAUUUUUGAGCCGAUACCCCCAUGUAACUCUGUUUAUUUAUAUAGCACGGCUUUAUCACCACGCAGAUCCUCGAAAUCGGCAAGGACUCAGGGACCUUAUUAGCAGCGGUGUUACUAUCCAGAUCAUGACGGAGCAAGGUGAAGACAAAGCGCUCCUGGGAGCGUGGGGAUCGUAAAGGGGGCAGACAGAACAGGCGGGUGAUGCUGGGAUGGAAUCCGAGAGGCAGAAAAAGUCCAACCUUAAGUGAGGGAGGAAGGACCUUCCCAGCAAGGGAAGGAUGAACAAUAACAACUCCUUCUACUCUGGGUACAGCCGCCUCCCAGUCACCUUAUCUUCGUUUGAUGGAGGGAGACCCCCUCUAGCAGCAAAUAGGAGAGCCUUUAUGUAGGGCGCAUGCCCUGUGGUUGUUGCUACUGGGAAUUGAAGUCAAAGCCUUGCACGUGCUAAGCCUACCUACCUGGGAGACAAGCUCGCUACUUCUGAACUACAUCUCUGCUCUCUUUAGUGUUUAUUGGAGGCAGGGUCCUUAAGUGGCUACCCCUGGAUUAGCCGCAGGCUGGCCUUGAAUUUGCAAUUUCCCUGCUUCAGCCUUCUGAAAAGCUUGGACUGCAGGCAUGAGCCACUCUGCCCAGAUCAUGUUAGGUCAUUUACCAUUGUGUUUGUUAAAUAAAUGAAAUUCUGUGUUUCUUUAGAGUCUGGCUACUGCUGGAGGAAUUUUGUCAACUACUCCCCUUCGAAUGAAGCUCAUUGGCCAAGGUACCCCCAUCUGUGGGUGAGGCUGUACGUACUGGAACUCUACUGCAUCAUUUUAGGACUUCCACCCUGUUUAAAUAUUUUAAGAAGAAAACAACCUCAACUCACGUUUUUCACGAUUGCUCUUCAAAGCUGCCAUUACCAAAGGCUACCACCCCACAUCCUGUGGGCCACAGGGUUGAAAUGACUUCUGGGAGUUGGGGAUGGAUGAAAUGACUCCUUGUAUGUCUUGACAGCAAGCAUUGAUUACCCACUAAAGAGCGACUGCCACAAGGAAUCU
rnacentral:lncRNA from 1 species